rnacentral:rRNA from 1 species
AUGGAGAUUGUGGUGGGUGCUUCGGAGGCCACCAUGAAAUCUCUAUUGAGGAAGCUCGGUGGCCUGCUUGCUCACGAGUAUGCUCUCAUCAGGGGCGUCCGCGGCGACAUCCAGUACAUCAACGACGAGAUGACGAGCAUGCAGGCCUUUCUUGGCGACCUCAGCAGCACUAUUCCCCAGGGCCAUGACCGCCGGAUGAAAGACUGGAUGGAGCAGAUCCGCGAUGUCACCUACGACAUCGAGGACUGCGUGGACGACUUCGCGCACCGCCUCUCCCACGACCCCAGUGGCGAAGUCUGCUGCGCGUUUGUCAUCUCCAAGGUCUAUGAGUUUUGGACGUGGCAGUCUCGCCGCGACAUUGCUUCCAGCAUCGCUGAGCUCAAGGUACGUGCGCAGCAGAUUGGCGAACGGCGUACGAGGUAUGGCGUCGAUAAUCCGAAGAGUGGCGGCGGGGAAUCCAGUGCAGUUGCCACUGGAGGAUUCCAGGCUGCUGAGAACCAACAGAUGAGCCUUGAGCUUGUUGGUACCAAGAAGCCUGUCGGAGUGGACAAGGACAUCAAGGACCUCGGGGAAUGGGUGACCUUACAACAACCAGCUGCAACAUCUCCCACAGAUCCCUCCUCAUCAGCCCCUACAUCCCAAACGGGGCCUAAGAAGAAUGGCCAAGGUGUUCUGUCCAUCGUCGGGUUCGGAGGGGUGGGCAAAACCACAAUGGCCAUGGCGUUAUACCAAAAAUUUGCUAAUCAAUUUGACUGCCGGGCCAUGGUCACGGUGUCGCAGAGCUCCGACAUAGAAGCGAUACUACAAAGCAUACAUAGUCAAGUCAUGCCACAAUCCAAAGAUGCUAACGAGAAGCAAGGCAGCAGUGGUGUCGGCACUUUGGAGAAAAAUAGCCUCGUGGCUGCCAUUGGCAGCCUGUGGGAUACUUUCAAACAGAAGGGCCACCAGGACGAUGAGCAGCCUGGUGGCAGCACCUCAGAUAUUGCACGAGAUCUCAGGAAGCACUUGGGGGAACAAAGUUACUUGCUCUUAGUUGAUGAUGUAUGGUCUGCAUCGAUGUGGGAGAAGAUAAGAAAUUCACUGCCUAAAAGUAAGAGAGGUGGCAGCAUAAUACUCACCACACGGUUUCAAGCAGUUGCUAGUGCGUGCAUAAGAGAUAAAGGAGUUCAUGUUCAGAAAGUGGGCGUACUUAGGGAUGACAAACCUAAAGAACUAUUCAUGGCCGAAUCCAAUAUGAGUGAAGAAAACCAGAAGAAAAUUCCACCUGAACUCUGGGAAAUUUGUGGGGGUCUGCCAUUGGCCAUAGUUACCAUGGCUGGGCACGCAGUCUGCAACCCAGAUAAACUAGAGAAGGACUGGAUGGAAGUUUGCGCCAGGUUGGUACCGGACCCUGGGAAACCUCUUGGCCAGGACGGAGUCACAAGGAUACUAAGCCAUUGCUACAAUGAUAUGCCUGCUGAGAUCAAGACAUGCUCCUUGUAUCUAUGCAUAUUUCCAAAGGGGCGAAACAUCAGCACCAAGCGGCUGACCAGGCGAUGGCUAGCAGAAGGCUUCGUCAGCGAGAAGGAUGGGCUGAGUGCGGAGGAUGUCGCGGAGACAUACUUCAAUCAUCUCAUAAAGAGGAAGAUCAUACGUGCUGUGGAGCACAGCAGCAACGGGAAGGUGAAGAGUUAUCAAGUUCAUGACAUGGUUCUCCAGUACAUUGUGUCCAGGGCAAGCGAAGAGAACUUUGUCACCGUGGUUGGUGGCCACUGGCUCAUGGCGACGCCUAGCAACAAAGUCCGUCGGCUGUCCCUCCAAGGCGGUGACUCCAAAUACAAGAAAGGAAUGGAUGGCAUGAACUUUUCUCAUGUCCGAUCUCUGACCUUGUUUGGGAGCUUGACCCAACUGCCUUCCAAUUCAUUGAAGUUUGGAAUUGUGCAAGUGCUAGAUCUUGAAGGUUGCAAUGAUUUUAAAAAGCAACAUGCCAAGGAGAUAUGCAAGAUGCUUCUACUCAAGUACCUCAGUCUCCGAAGGACAGAGAUUGACAAGAUCCCUAAGAAGAUUGGAAAGCUCCAGUAUUUGGAGACUAUUGACAUAAGGGAGACCAAUGUCACAGAGCUGCCGAGCACUGUCUGCCAGCUGGAACGACUGGUCAACAUACUUGGUGGGAACAAAAGAACACGGAAGGCAUUGAGGCUUCCAGAAGACCUGAAGAAGGAAACAAUGAAAUCCCUGCGCCUACUGUCAGGUAUCGAGAUCGAUGAGGGGUCAGCGGCUGCUGUGGCAGACCUUCAUCAUCUAACUGAACUGAGGAAGCUAGCCAUUUACAAGCUCAACAUCGGAAACGGAAGUAAACUUUUCAGAGAAUUAAGCUCGUCAAUUGAGUAUCUUGGUGGCUACUCUCUUCACACCCUGAUAAUCGAUGAUGAGUCAUCUGAGUUUCUAAAAUUGCUGAGUGCUCUCUCUUUCCCUCCCAAGUUUCUGAAUGCUCUUGAACUGUCUGGCAAGUUAGUUGAGCUCCCACAAUGGAUCACGGAACUUGAUGUAUUGACGAAGUUGACCCUCUCGUUGACGGUGCUGACUACUGAUACUUUGCUCCAGUUGAGCAAGCUCAAGACACUGUUUUCUCUCACGUUUUCACUCACUUCAGCAAAGGUGGGUUCUGAAACAGCUGCCACCACAGGGGAAAACAAGGCUGGUGGGAAGAUCAUAGUUCCUGCUAGCGGAUUUGAGGAGCUCAAGCUUCUUCGCUUCUCGGCUCCAUUGGUGCCACUGCUAACCUUCCCAGAUAAUGCAAUGCCGAAGCUGGAACGGCUUGAGCUAAGGUUCAGCAAUUUGGGUGGAAUGAAUGGCAUCGAAAAUCUUCAAAAUCUAAAAGAGGUGCAUCUCAGAAUACAUGACAAAGCAGGUGGUGUUACCAAGUCAAUGGUAGAGAAUAUGGCAACUGCAGCAAGGGAAGAUGACAAAGGCCCCAGAAUAAUUGUUGAUCAGUAUCACGAUCGAAGAAGUACGCAUUCAGAUCAAGGAUACACAAAGUGA